UGGGGAAUAUUGGACAAUGGGCGCAAGCCUGAUCCAGCCAUGCCGCGUGAGUGAUGAAGGCCCUAGGGUUGUAAAGCUCUUUCGCCAGGGACGAUAAUGACGGUACCUGGAUAAGAAGCCCCGGCUAACUUCGUGCCAGCAGCCGCGGUAAUACGAAGGGGGCUAGCGUUGUUCGGAAUUACUGGGCGUAAAGCGCAUGCAGGCGGAUCGUUAAGUCGGGGGUGAAAGCCCGAGGCUCAACCUCGGAACUGCCUUCGAUACUGGCGAUCUUGAGUCCGGGAGAGGUGAGUGGAACUCCGAGUGUAGAGGUGAAAUUCGUAGAUAUUCGGAAGAACACCAGUGGCGAAGGCGGCUCACUGGCCCGGUACUGACGCUGAGAUGCGAAAGCGUGGGGAGCAAACAGGAUUAGAUACCCCCGUAGUCC
rnacentral:rRNA from 1 species